rnacentral:tRNA from 1 species
GGAGAAAUACCCAAGUGGCUGAAGGGGCUCCCCUGCUAAGGGAGUAGACCUCGUUGAGGGGUGCGAGGGUUCAAAUCCCUCUUUCUCCG